rnacentral:rRNA from 1 species
GACAGAGGCCUCAAGCGUUAGGCGGAAUCACUGGGCUUAAAGCGUGUGUAGGCGGACGCCUAAGUACCUUGUGAAAUCCCACGGCUCACCCGUGGAACUGCUGGGUAUACUGGGUGUCUUGGGCCAUUCAGGGGCAACUGGAACAAGCGGUGGAGCGGUGAAAUGCGUAGAUAUCGCUUGGAACGCCGAAGGUGAAAACAGGUUGCUGGGGAUGCGCCGACGCUGAGACACGAAAGCGUGGGUAGCAAACAGG